rnacentral:lncRNA from 1 species
UGAAGGUUCUGCUUGAUUGGCUUAGGUGUAGGCAGCACAUGCCUUAGGGUGGGGCCCUGUGGGUGGAGCCUGUGUCCUGAGCACUAUAAAAGGCCAGAGACUCAGAGCUCCAAGUCCCUUCAGGGAGGAGCCCAGAGCAGGAGAGGUGAAGGAUCUGGCAGGGGCCUCUCAGACCUCCAAGCAAGUCUCCAGCUCAAGGUGACCAGCGCCAUACUGACUGGGGUGGAGACUGCAUCCUACCAAGGUCUCAUUGAACACCCACCUGGGCUCAGUUCCCACAUAGAGAAGCUCUAGUCAGAGCAGACAGCUACUCCUGGGAGAGACCCCAAACAAGACCCCACACAAGAUACGUCCUGAUCACUGCAGAGCAGACGGUGCACUGAGGGCUCCUGACCAACUCCAGAAGCUGCUAAAGGGAACUGACACCAGAUCACUGCCAAGGGCUGC